rnacentral:rRNA from 1 species
AUUGAACGCUGGCGGCAGGCCUAACACAUGCAAGUCGCACGAGUGGCGGACGUGUUAGUUAUGUAUGUGCAACGGCCUGAUGGCGGGGGUUAACUACUGGAAACGGUUGCUAAAACCGCAUACCAUAGGAUGAGCCCAGUUGGGUUUAGCGAGGAGGUGGGGUAACGGCUUACCUAGGCGACGAUCCCUACCUGGGCUGAGAGGAGGAAGAGCCACACUGGAACUGAGAGACGGUCCAGACUCUGACGGGAGGCAGCAGUGGGGAAUAUGGCACAAGGGGCGAAAGCCUGAUGCAGCCAUGCCGCGUGUAUGAAGAAGGCCUUCGGGUUGUAAAGUACUUUCAGCGGGGAGGCGUUACCCGCAGAAGAAGCACCGGCUAACUCCGUGCCAGCAGCCGCGGUAAUAC